rnacentral:lncRNA from 10 species
GUGAGCACAGCUUGAGGGCAGUCAUCCACCUCUUCACAUAUUUUCCAUCCGUCAGCUGUGAGAGGCAGAGUGUCAGGUUGUUCAGUUUGGCAAGAUGAGCUCAAGAGGGAAGCCACAACAAAGAAGGAGGCUGCUGCCAUCAUUAGGUGUCUGCCACGCCUAUGAGUCAGUGGAGCCUGCACUUCCGUGGGACGCCUGUAGCAAGCUGAGGGGCAGUUCAUGUUUUCCAUUCACAAAGGAGUCUAUGACCAUUUUACCGUAUCUGCGUAAGAGUCUCCAUGACACAACAGUACCCACGUCACCUCAGGUUGGUAAAUCAAUCUGGGGCCCAAAGUAAACUUUGGUCUAAUUGCCGUGGAAAGGAUCUAGACUCGUUCUUUGACCAAUGGACCCCUAUCUAGGGAAGUAAAAAGCAUGAUGUUAGAUGACCUGAAUGUAAAAGCUUAAGUGAUCUUGGGCAAAUUAUUAAACUUCCUAAAUAUCAGCUUCUCUAGUCCCAGCUACUCAGGAGGCUGAGGCAGGAGGAUGUUUAAGACCAGGAGUUCAAGGCCGUAGCGCACGAUCGUUGUGCGUGUGAAUAGCCACUGCACUCCAAACUGGACAACAUAACAAGAUCCCUUUAGGAAAAAUUAAACAUUAGUUUUCUGUCCUGCAAAAUAAUAGUUUUCUAUUGAAUGGGAUAAUACAAGUAUCCAUCUCAUAACAUAAUCAGGAAGUUUAAACAAGGAAAUGUGUGUAAGACACUUAGCACAUGGCUGAAGACUCAGUAAAAAGUUCCCGUCUGUCAUUUCUGGGGCAUCCUCAGUCUUGCAGGUGACGGUGAAAUUAAAAGGUAGGAAGAUGCACUACGUGGUCUAAAAGAGGUGGUCCAAGGUGCUGGGAAACACUUGGCCCCCAGGGCAUUGAAAUGACCCCCCACAGCCCAGCAACGUCUUUGGGUAUUGGGUGAAGGCCUGAAACAAACCAGAGCGCAGAACUGCUGAUUCCUUUUCCCAUCCUGGACGCAGCAGGAGGAGGCAGGGCUCACAUUGCCCCCACACACCUGGACAAAGCGGGAAGAACCUGUAUUUCAAAUACUUUAGGCUGAAGCACCCAUUGGAAGGAGAUCAUCCAAGGGACCUUGAAGGGAAGGCUCUGAGGUCAAGUUGUUGGAGAAAGGGUGAAAAGAGGCCAGGUGUGGUGGCUCAUGCCUGUAAUCCCAGCACUUUGGGAGGCCGAGGCAGGCAGACCACUUGAGGUCAGGAGCUCGAGACCAGUCCCAACAUGGUGAAACCCUGCCUCUACUAAAAAUACAAAAAAUUAUCCAGGCAUGGUGGUGGGCGCCUGUAAUCCCAGCUACUCAGGAGUCUGAGGCAGGAGAAUCACUUGAACCUGGGAGGCGG